rnacentral:lncRNA from 1 species
GAAAGAUCUCCCAUGCUCAUGGAUUGGCAGGAUUAAUAUAGUAAAAAUGGCCAUUUUACCAAAAGCAAUCUACAGAUUCAAUGCAAUCCCCAUCAAAAUACCAAUCCAAUUCUUCAAAGAGUUAGACAAAACAAUUUGCAAAUUCAUCUGGAAUAACAAAAAACCCAGGAUAGCUAAAGCUAUCCUCAACAAUAAAAGGACUUCAGGGGGAAUCACUAUCCCUGAACUCAAGCAGUAUUACAGAGCAAUAGUGAUAAAAACUGCAUGGUAUUGGUACAGAGACAGACAGAUAGACCAAUGGAAUAGAAUUGAAGACCCAGAAAUG